CUUCCGUUUUUCUUCGAGACCCCGUCGACUUUUCCACAGUCCACGACGCUCUUCGCCAGCAGGACUCUGCGAAGGUUUCAAGUUGUGAUGCACAUGCUUAUGUGUACAAUAUUGUCGCCAAGCAACGCGAGUGGACGGCCGCCGAUCAAUAUUCCCGCGGAUGACGGGUUUUUUAAACAUGAUGAUCUUUGAAGGAACAGGAAUGGGCGAUGAAUGACAAUAAAAGCGAGGCAAUCAUCGUGUAAAUUAAUAAAGCUAAUUUUAUUAGAACAUCAUCAUCGAAGUGUUAGUCAAAUAAAUAAAUUACAUCAACUUUAUGCUAGAUGCCUGAUCCAUACGUUUUCAAAUCGUCGAGCAGGAAGUUGUCACUGGUAAUUCCGGUUUCUAUACUACACAGUGUUCGAAUAUGUGUAUAUUCGUAGUAUAUUUAUAGAAAAUUUAUGGAUAUGCUGUAUUUCUUCAAGUUCGUUGAUCGUAUGUGUAUACAAUAAUCCUACUACUGGAAUUUUACGUAAUAAUAUUGUCUGAUCGAUAUUUUGUAUCAGCAGCGCA
rnacentral:lncRNA from 2 species